rnacentral:rRNA from 1 species
AUUGAACGCUGGCGGCAUGCCUUACACAUGCAAGUCGAACGGUAACAGGUCUUCGGAUGCUGACGAGUGGCGCACGGGUGAGUAAUACAUCGGAACGUGCCCAGACGUGGGGGAUAACGAGGCGAAAGCUUUGCUAAUACCGCAUACGAUCUAAGGAUGAAAGCAGGGGACCGCAAGGCCUUGCGCGUUUGGAGCGGCCGAUGGCAGAUUAGGUAGUUGGUGGGAUAAAAGCUUACCAAGCCGACGAUCUGUAGCUGGUCUGAGAGGACGACCAGCCACACUGGGACUGAGACACGGCCCAGACUCCUACGGGAGGCAGCAGUGGGGAAUUUUGGACAAAGGGCGAAAGCCUGAUCCAGCAAUGCCGCGUGCAGGAUGAAGGCCUUCGGGUUGUAAACUGCUUUUGUACGGAACGAAAAGGCUCUGGCUAAUACCUGGGGCACAUGACGGUACCGUAAGAAUAAGCACCGGCUAACUACGUG